rnacentral:rRNA from 1 species
UAACACGUAGUCCCCCUUUCCAGGGGACGUGGAUAACCUCGGGAAACUGAGAUUAAACCGCGAUAGGUCAAGAUUUCUGGAAUGGAUCCUGGCUUAAAUCUACAUGGCCCCUGGAUUGGACUGCGGCCGAUCAGGCUGUUGGUGAGGUAAUGGCCCACCAAACCUAUAACCGGUACGGGCUCUGAGAGGAGAAGCCCGGAGAUGGGCACUGAGACAAGGGCCCAGGCCCUAUGGGGCGCAGCAGGCGCGAAAACUCUGCAAUGGGCGAAAGCCUGACAGGGUUACUCUGAGUGAUUUCCGCUAAGGAGAUCUUUUGGCAGCUCUAAAAAUGGUGCAGAAUAAGGGGUGGGCAAGUCUGGUGUCAGCCGCCGCGGUAAUACCAGCACCCCGAGUGGUCGGGACGAUUAUUGGGCCUAAAGCAUCCGUAGCCGGUUGUGCAAGUCCUCCGUUAAAUCCAGCCGCUCAACGGAUGGGCUGCGGAGGAUACUACAGAACUAGGAGGCGGGAGAGGCAAGCGGUACUUAGUGGGUAGGGGUAAAAUCCUUUGAUCCAUUGAAGA